rnacentral:rRNA from 1 species
AUUGAACGCUGGCGGCAGGCCUAACACAUGCAAGUCGAGCGGCAGCGGGAAAGUAGCUUGCUACUUUUGCCGGCGAGCGGCGGACGGGUGAGUAAUGCCUGGGAAAUUGCCCAGUCGAGGGGGAUAACAGUUGGAAACGACUGCUAAUACCGCAUACGCCCUACGGGGGAAAGCAGGGGACCUUCGGGCCUUGCGCGAUUGGAUAUGCCCAGGUGGGAUUAGCUAGUUGGUGAGGUAAUGGCUCACCAAGGCGACGAUCCCUAGCUGGUCUGAGAGGAUGAUCAGCCACACUGGAACUGAGACACGGUCCAGCAUCCUACGGGAGGCAGCAGUGGGGAAUAUUGCACAAUGGGGGAAACCCUGAUGCAGCCAUGCCGCGUGUGUGAAGAAGGCCUUCGGGUUGUAAAGCACUUUCAGCGAGGAGGAAAGGUUGAUGCCUAAUACGUAUCAACUGUGACGUUACUCGCAGAAGAAGCACCGGCUAACUCCGUGCCAGCAGCCGCAGUAA